rnacentral:rRNA from 1 species
GCAAAUUACCCACUCCCGGCACGGGGAGGUAGUGACAAAAAUAACGAUACGGGACUCAUCCGAGGCCCCGUAAUCGGAAUGAGCACACUUUAAAUCCUUUAACAGUAUCCAUUGGAGGGCAAGUCUGGUGCCAGCAGCCGCGGUAAUUCCAGCUCCAAUAGCGUAUAUUAAAGUUGUUGCGGUUAAAAAGCUCGUAGUCGGACUUGUGUCACACGCUGCCGGUUCACCGCCCGUCGGUGUUUAACUGGCAUGCACGUGCUGACGUCCUGCGGUGGCCCAAGCCGGCCCGGGAGCUCUUGGCGUGGGAUUCCCUCCGGGGGCCCUGCCUCGAACCGGUGUCUGGGGAGGGCCUACUCAUACCCCUCGUGGUGCUCUUAACCGAGUGUCUCGAUGGGCCGGCACGUUUACUUUGAACAAAUUAGAGUGCUUAAAGCAGGCAGCAUCCGCCUGAAUACUGAGUGCAUGGAAUAAUGGAAUAGGACCUCGGUUCUAUUUUGUUGGUUUUCGGAUCCCCGAGGUAAUGAUCAAUAGGGACAGACGGGGGCAUUCGUAUUGCGACGUUAGAGGUGAAAUUCUUGGAUCGUCGCAAGACGGACCGAAGCGAAAGCAUUUGCCAAGAAUGUUUUCUCUGAUCAAGAACGAAAGUUAGAGUUCGAAGGCGAUCAGAUACCGCCCUAGUUCUAACCAUAAACGAUGCCAGCCAGCAAUCCGCCGAAGUUCCUCCGAUGACUCGGCGGGCGGCUUCCGGGAAACCAAAGCUUUUGGGUUCCGGGGGAAGUAUGGUUGCAAAGCUGAAACUUAAAGGAAUUGACGGAAGGGCACCACCAGGAGUGGAGCCUGCGGCUUAAUUUGACUCAACACGGGAAACCUCACCAGGCCCGGACACCGGGAGGAUUGACAGAUUGAGAGCUCUUUCUUGAUUCGGUGGGUGGUGGUGCAUGGCCGUUCUUAGUUGGU